AACAGGAAGCACUGCUCAUGUCAGUUUUCUCAUAACCUAAUUUUGGAGUGCUCAUUUCACUAGAAUCUGACUAGAACCAGAAAUUACACCCCUGUUUGAGGUUGGGUUCUCCAUAUAUACACUCUUGUUUUAGGUUGGGUUCUCCAUAUAUACACUCUUGUUUUAGGUUGGGUUCUCCAUAUAUACUGUAUACACUCUUGUUUUAGGUUGGAUUCAGAUUCCAGAAAUUACACCCCUGUUCAGCCUGCAGCUUGCUGGUGUGUUGGAGUCUCUGGUCUUUGAGUUAAUAGUGUCCUGUUUUCCUGUGUUCAGUGCGUAAAGGCAGUUUAGUCAGUGUAGAUAUUAGUGUGGUGUAGAGAUUCCUGUGUUCAGUGCGUAA
ensembl:lncRNA